AGGAGAAGUCGUAACAAGGUUUCCGUAGGUGAACCUGCGGAAGGAUCAUUGAAUCUAUCGAAUCCACACCGGUAACCAUCCACCCCUCUUGCUUAAAACCCAAGGGGCGCCAGUCCCCUGACCCAGGGCUUGCCCUGGUGUUCAGGUCUGGCGGGGUAGGCUCCGGCCUGCCUGGUUAAUUAUAACAAACCUUUAACACACACCAAACCUCAAACCAAACUGAAGCUUUUGGAAGGGAGGCUUUCAGCCCCCAUCCACAAACCAAAGACAACUCUCAACAACGGAUAUCUUGGCUCCCGUAUCGAUGAAGAACGCAGCGAAAUGCGAUACGUAGUGUGAAUUGCAGAAUUCCGUGAACCAUCGAAUCUUUGAACGCAAAUUGCGCCCGCGGCCUCGGCUAAGGGCAUGUCUGCCUCAGCGUCGGUUUACACCCCUCGCUCCCUUCUACUGGGAGCGGAUCUGGCAGUCUCAGUCGCCCUUUAUUGGGCUGACUGGGUCUGCUGAAGUGCAGAGGUUUGAGCAUGGACCCCGUUUGCAGGGCAAUAGCUUGGUAGGUAGGCGUCAGCCUGCAUUAGCCUGCUGUUGCCUGAGGGGACUUUGCUGGGAGCCUAGCAGGAAUUGGGUUUGGCUUAGGCCUUCCCAACUCUCUUUUCGACCUAGUCAGGCAAGAUUACCCGCUGAACUUAAGCAUAUCAAUAAGCGGAGGA
rnacentral:rRNA from 1 species